CACGACAUAGGAAUCCAAAGGGAGUGCAAUGGUGGUGCACGACAAUGAUGGAAAGGUGAAUGGUGGAGUGACACCCCUUUGUGGCUGAGCUCUUUGUCCUUUUUACACUAAUUCUUCUUUCUCUUUAACACAUUCCUAGCCUCUUUAGUCUUCAAUUUCGUCCAUCCACCUUGCUCCAUGCAUGUGCUAUCCAUUCCAAGCCCAAAACUGCUCCAAAAUGCACGAAAAUGCAUCUUAUUGCUUUAUAAGGCCUAUGGACCUACAAACACACAAAAAUAGCUUAAAAUACAUAAUUAACUAAGAAAUAACAACAUAAAUGCAUGAGAACAAUGAUGCGAAAUAGAUAAGCACACAAAUUAAACCCUCUUUUUGUCAAAUUGUAGUAAAGAUGUAAGUAGGGAUCGUUUUAGACCGGGGAUUAGGAGGGAUUGCUAAACACUUGAAAACUGACUUAAAACAUAAAAACAAAGUUUAAAACACUAAACUAGACUCAAAGAAUGCAAAACUAAAGUUUAAAACACUUAAACAAACAUAAAACUCAAAACAGCAACCUAAUGACUCAAAACUGCCUAAAACCACUUUCUGGGCAGUUUUGAGAACCUAACAAGAACUUGGACGAAUUUGGGUGAAAACUUGAAUCAAAACACUUAGAAACACAAAUCAAAACAUAUUCUAACUAAUCUAAGACUUUAAAAUAAAGGGGGAUUUGUUUUGGACGAAAAUUGAAAACAAAACAGAAACUUUAAAACAAAACAGAUUGUAAAACGUUUUUGGAUGAAAAGGAUGGAUCAAAGGCUAGUUAGGAGGUUCUUCUCCACACAUGUUACACUUACAAACAAAACGAUUUUCAGUUGUUCUUCCAAUAAAUUAUGACUACUCAACGCCCUAAAUUAACCGUGAAUUGCACUAAUUAACCCUCAGUUUUUCGACAAGUUAUUGAGUUGGAUGAUUGCAUACGACAACCCAAAACAUUCCCUACAAGUUCCCUACAUGAAUUGCAUAAUAGAGAUACAAGCAAGAAUCAUUAAGUUCUAUGAAAAACAUAAGCAUUGACGAAGCAUUCGUUACUAUGAAUUGCAUGAAACUUAUGCCAAGAAUUCAUUCAACGCGAUCGUUUUCAAGCGACCUUCACUACUUGUGAUUAUAAGAUUGUAACUAUUAGGUGAAACUCCCUCAUAAUCUAGCAUCAUAUUUAUGCAUGAAAACUAAGCGUGCACUCUCAAUCAACAUACACAAAUAAGUUAUCAAUCAAGUAGAUGAACGAAUUGAAUCCACAACUUAUGAAAUAACAACUGAAUGUAAUCAAAUCAUAUUGCAAGCAUGUACAUGGUUUCGAAUUCCCCCUAACCAAGGGGGGUUUAGUUCAUCAUACUCACAACACAAAGAAUAUCAAAAUUAAACAUGGAAAUCAAAGGAAAGACAACACCUAAAACGUUCCAGCAAUCCUCAAUUGAAUGGCAUGAACGUCCCAAGCUUUCUCUCCUCCUCUUGGCUGCGGCACAAGGACUAGAGACAGGUUCUAGGGGUUAUUUGGAUGGAUGAGGAGGUAAGGAAUGAUAUGGUAGUGUUUUGGGGACAUGGGGGUUGCGGCAAAGUGUGGAAAUAUGGCAGAUUGGUGAAGGAAGGCUGCGGCAAAGGGGGAUCAAUGUGUUUGGACGAAUUUCUGACUUAUGGAGGAGGUGAUAUCUGCGGCAAGGCUAAGAACAUAUAUAUAUAGGCACCACAAACCCUAGGGAAAUCAGGUUUAAGCAAUGGGCUAGGGUUUAGGUGCGGCAAAGGGUUGAAAUCUGAAAGGGAUUGGGCUUAUGGUGCGGCAAGAAGUGAGAACCCAAGAGGAAUUGGGCUAGGAAGGUGCGGCAUUGUCCAAGAAGGUAAGGAUGGGUCAUCUAGAAGCCCAAAGCCAAGAAUAGAAACUCUCACAAAUGGAAACCUCCAAGAAUAGAAACUUCCAACUUUAGAAACUUUGGUUUCUAAUUCUGAAUUCUUUGUUCUUCACUUUCAUUUCUUCAUUUCUUAAGCUCCUUUGACCUUCAACUCGCCCAUUCCUUGUGCUCCAUAAGUAAAAACGCCAUUUUAGCUCAAUUAUGCUCCAUUUUGCACUUCAUUGCAUACUUUGUCUCUAAAACCUGAAAACACAUAAAACUAGCUUAAAAGACUACGUUUAACUAAGAAAACACCAUGGAAAUGCAUAAGAACUAGCUAACUAAGGCGCAUAAAUAU
rnacentral:lncRNA from 1 species